UCCCCUGGUGGUCUAGUGGUAAGGAUUCGGCGCUAUCAACGCUGUGGCCCGGGUUCGAUCCCCGGCCAGGAAA